rnacentral:rRNA from 1 species
GAUAAACGCUGGCGGCGUGCCUUAUGCAUGCAAGUCGCACGGGAGGCUGGCUUCGGCCAGCCAAGAGUGGCGGACGGGUGAGUAACGCGUAGGAACCUGCCCGGAAGUGGGGAAUAACUCCGCGAAAGCGGGGCUAAUACCGCAUGUGGUCGCGAGACUAAAGCUUCGGCGCUUCCGGAGGGGCCUGCGGCGGAUUAGCUAGUUGGUGGGGUAACGGCCUACCAAGGCGACGAUCCGUAGCUGGUCUGAGAGGAUGGUCAGCCACACUGGGACUGAGACACGGCCCAGACUCCUACGGGAGGCAGCAGCAAGGAAUUUUGCGCAAUGGACGAAAGUCUGACGCAGCAACGCCGCGUGGGGGAUGAAGGCCCUCGGGUUGUAAACCCCUUUUGUGAGGGACGAAGAUCAGACGGUACCUCGCGAAUAAGCCACGGCUAACUACGUGCCAGCCGCCGCGGUAACAC